rnacentral:rRNA from 1 species
GAUGAACGCUGGCGGCGUGCCUAAUACAUGCAAGUCGAGCGAACAGAUAAGGAGCUUGCUCCUUUGACGUUAGCGGCGGACGGGUGAGUAACACGUGGGUAACCUACCUAUAAGACUGGAAUAACUCCGGGAAACCGGGGCUAAUGCCGGAUAACAUUUAGAACCGCAUGGUUCUAAAGUGAAAGAUGGUUUUACUAUCUCUUAUAGAUGGACCCGCGCCGUAUUAGCUAGUUGGUAAGGUAACGGCUUACCAAGGCAACGAUACGUAGCCGACCUGAGAGGGUGAUCGGCCACACUGGAACUGAGACACGGUCCAGACUCCUACGGGAGGCAGCAGUAGGGAAUCUUCCGCAAUGGGCGAAAGCCUGACGGAGCAACGCCGCGUGAGUGAUGAAGGUCUUCGGAUCGUAAAACUCUGUUAUUAGGGAAGAACAAAUGUGUAAGUAACUGUGCACGUCUUGACGGUACCUAAUCAGAAAGCCACGGCUAACUACGUG